rnacentral:rRNA from 1 species
GACGAACGCUGGCGGCGUGCUUAACACAUGCAAGUCGAACGGAAAGGCCCUGCUUUUGUGGGGUGCUCGAUUGGCGAACGGGUGAGUAACACGUGAGUAACCUGCCCUUGACUUUGGGAUAACUUCACGAAACUGGGGCUAAUACCGGAUAUGAGCUCCUGCUGCAUGGUGUGGGUUGGAAAGUUUCGGCGGUUGUGGAUGGACUCGCGGCUUAUCCGCUUCUUGGUGGGGUAGUGGCUUACCAAGGCUUUGACGGGUAGCCAGCCUGAGAGGGUGACCGGCUACAGUGUGAUAGGGAGAGGGGCAGGAGGGCAACGGGAGGCAGCAGCGGGGAAUAGUGCGCGAGAGGCGGAGGCCUGAAGGAGCAACGCCGGAUGCGGAAUGACGGCUUUCGGGUAGUAAACAGCGUGCGCCUGUGACGGAGCGUGAGGGAGGGUAAUGGGUAAAGAAACACCGGUUAACUACGU